rnacentral:lncRNA from 1 species
CUGAGGCUCAAGAACUGCUGAACCCAGGGGACAGAGUGUACAGUACUGUGCCACGAAAUUCCAGCCUCCUUCACCUCUCUGAACUCUGGUGUGUGUGUCUUUAAUUCGGUGAGAUCAAUGGGAUCUUCCUGUGUUUGCCCUCCCAUAGAAGGCACCAUGUUUUGUAAUGUGUCUUCAUGAAAAAAGCCGUGAUGAUAUCAGUCUCAGUCUCAGUCUCUGCUUUUUUC